GUCGAGCGGUAGCACGGGGGAGCUUGCUCCGUGGGUGACGAGCGGCGGACGGGUGAGUAAUGUCUGGGAAACUGCCUGAUGGAGGGGGAUAACUACUGGAAACGGUAGCUAAUACCGCAUAAUGUCGCAAGACCAAAGAGGGGGACCUUCGGGCCUCUUGCCAUCAUAUGUGCCCAGAUGGGAUUAGCUAGUAUGUGGGGUAACGGCUCACCUAGGCGACGAUCCCUAGCUGGUCUGAGAGGAUGACCAGCCACACUGGAACUGAGACACGGUCCAGACUCCUACGGGAGGCAGCAGUGGGGAAUAUUGCACAGUGGGCGCAAGCCUGAUGCAGCCAUGCCGCGUGUAUGAAGAAGGCCUUCGGGUUGUAAAGUACUUUCAGCGAGGAGGAAGGCAUUGUGGUUAAUAACCACAGUGAUUGACGUUACUCGCAGAAGAAGCACCGGCUAACUCCGUGCCAGCAGCCGCGGUAAUACGGAGGGUGCAAGCGUUAAUCGGAAUUACUGGGCGUAAAGCGCACGCACGCGGUCUGUCAAGUCAGAUGUGAAAUCCCCGGGCUCAACCUGGGAACUGCAUUCGAAACUGGCAGGCUAGAGUCUUGUAGAGGGGGGUAGAAUUCCAGGUGUAGCGGUGAAAUGCGUAGAGAUCUGGAGGAAUACCGGUGGCGAACGCGGCCCCCUGGACAAAGACUGACGC
rnacentral:rRNA from 1 species